GCCAAAUAUUAUAUUCAAGAUGGCCACUUUUGCUAGGACGCGGGAAAAAUUAACUUUGCAUAAAAAAAGACAAAGGCUCGCUCCAGACAAACAAAGCCUGCAUUGAAAAUGGAAUAACUAGCAGAAUAUCUAGGUGAAAGAGCCCUCAUCGGUUGUUGCGGCGUGCCCCUCUAUGUAUUUGUGUCACGUUGUCUCGUGCCAGGAUUAGGAUUUAAAAAUUUACCUUGGAAAAUCAAGGUCAAAGAACGGUGGUUGAAGAAUGCCAGCGGGGAAACCUAGAAUAGAAGGUAAUUCAUAUAAAACACAAGACAAGGCAUCACGCACCGAGCAUGGACCUUCAGUAGCAACUUCUAUAGCAGAACCGACGCCGAUAUAUGAUAACAUUAUGAUGCGGUUCAUAUUUCACGUGUGAAUUCUUAAAAACAAGAAAUGCAAAAGCGGUUACCGCGCUAUUUAACUUAAAUUAAAACAACUGCUUUAAGCAGUUGUUGGUGAGGUUCUUUUUGUUAUGACCGAAAAAUAAAAAUUGGUUAUGUUU